UACGUAGGCUGCAAGCGUUAAUCGGAAUUACUGGGCGUAAAGCGUGCGCAGGCGGUUUUGUAAGUCUGUCGUGAAAGCCCCGGGCUCAACCUGGGAAUUGCGAUGGAGACUGCAAGGCUUGAAUCUGGCAGAGGGGGGUAGAAUUCCACGUGUAGCAGUGAAAUGCGUAGAGAUGUGGAGGAACACCGAUGGCGAAGGCAGCCCCCUGGGUCAAGAUUGACGCUCAUGCACGAAAGCGUGGGGAGCAAACAGG
rnacentral:rRNA from 1 species